UACGGAGGGGGCAAGCGUUGUUCGGAAUUAUUGGGCGUAAAGAGUAUGUAGGCGGCUAUUUAAGUCAGGCGUGCAAGCCCACGGCUCAACCGUGGAAUUGCGUUUGAAACUAUUUAGCUUGAGUACAGGAGAGGAAGGCGGAAUUCCCAGUGUAGCGGUGAAAUGCAUUGAUAUUGGGAAGAACACCGGUGGCGAAGGCGGCCUUCUGGUCUGAUACUGACGCUGAGAUACGAAAGCCAGGGGAGCGAACGGG
rnacentral:rRNA from 1 species